rnacentral:rRNA from 1 species
AACGAACGCUGGCGGCAUGCCUAACACAUGCAAGUCGAACGAGACCUUCGGGUCUAGUGGCGCACGGGUGCGUAACGCGUGGGAACCUGCCCUUAGGUUCGGAAUAACUCCCCGAAAGGGGUGCUAAUACCGGAUAAUGUCUUCGGCCCAAAGAUUUAUCGCCUUUGGAUGGGCCCGCGUUGGAUUAGCUAGUUGGUAGGGUAAAAGCCUACCAAGGCGACGAUCCAUAGCUGGUCUGAGAGGAUGAUCAGCCACACUGGGACUGAGACACGGCCCAGACUCCUACGGGAGGCAGCAGUGGGGAAUAUUGGACAAUGGGCGAAAGCCUGAUCCAGCAAUGCCGCGUGAGUGAUGAAGGCCUUAGGGUUGUAAAGCUCUUUUAACCGGGAUGAUAAUGACAGUACCGGGAGAAUAAGCGCCGGCUAACUACGUG